GACCUAAGAUCGCCUCAGUGACUUGCAAGCAACUCACUGUGCUUUGGUACUGGACUAACUAAAUUUUUAAUUCAGGGAUGGAAGGCUUCUGGGCACAGUCAAGUACUUGCGAAGUCAGAGUGUGAUCGAGAUGGGAUUGACCACUCCAAGAGUUGGAGAAGAAUGAGUCACUGUAUUUCAAUUUAGCAAAAUCUUGGCCAGGAUAAUCCAU
rnacentral:lncRNA from 1 species